rnacentral:rRNA from 1 species
CCUACGGGUGGCUGCAGUGGGGAAUAUUGGACAAUGGGCGAAAGCCUGAUCCAGCCAUGCCGCGUGUGUGAAGAAGGCCUUCGGGUUGUAAAGCACUUUCAGUGGGGAAGAAAGCCUUGGGGCUAAUACCCUCGAGGAAGGACAUCACCCACAGAAGAAGCACCGGCUAACUUCGUGCCAGCAGCCGCGGUAAUACGGAGGGUGCGAGCGUUAAUCGGAAUUACUGGGCGUAAAGCGCGCGUAGGCGGUCUGAUAAGCCGGUUGUGAAAGCCCCGGGCUCAACCUGGGAACGGCAUCCGGAACUGUCAGGCUAGAGUGCAGGAGAGGAAGGUAGAAUUCCCGGUGUAGCGGUGAAAUGCGUAGAGAUCGGGAGGAAUACCAGUGGCGAAGGCGGCCUUCUGGACUGACACUGACGCUGAGGUGCGAAAGCGUGGGUAGCAAACAGGAUUAGAUACCCCAGUAGUC